CCUACGGGUGGCAGCAGUGAGGAAUAUUGGUCAAUGGACGCGAGUCUGAACCAACCAAGCCGCGUGCAGGAAGACGGCUCUAUGGGUUGUAAACUUCUUUUGUACGAGAGUAAACGCAGGUACGUGUAUCUGUCUGAAAGUAUCUUAUGAAUAAGGAUCGGCUAACUCCGUGCCAGCAGCCGCGGUAAUACGGAGGAUUCAAGCGUUAUCCAGAUUUAUUGGGUUUAAAGGGUGCGUAGACGGUCUGAUAAGUUAGAGGUGAAAGUUCGAGGCUCAACCUCGGAAUUGCAAUUGAUACUGUUCGGCUAGAGAGUAGUUGAGGUAGGCGGAAUGUAUGGUGUAGCGGUGAAAUGCUUAGAGAUCACACAGAACACCGAUUGCGAAGGCAGCUUACCAAGCUACUUCUGACGUUGAUGCACGAAAGCGUGGGUAUCAAACAGGAUUAGAUACCCCUGUAGUC
rnacentral:rRNA from 1 species